rnacentral:rRNA from 1 species
GAUGAACGCUGGCGGUGUGCCUAAUACAUGCAAGUCGAGCGAACAGACGAGGAGCUUACUCCUCUGACGUUAGCGGCGGACGGGUGAGUAACACGUGGAUAACCUACCUAUAAGACUGGGAUAACUUCGGGAAACCGGAGCUAAUACCGGAUAACAUGUUGAACCGCAUGGUUCAACAGUGAAAGACGGUCUUGCUGUCACUUAUAGAUGGAUCCGCGCCGCAUUAGCUAGUUGGUAAGGUAACGGCUUACCAAGGCAACGAUGCGUAGCCGACCUGAGAGGGUGAUCGGCCACACUGGAACUGAGACACGGUCCAGACUCCUACGGGAGGCAGCAGUAGGGAAUCUUCCGCAAUGGGCGAAAGCCUGACGGAGCAACGCCGCGUGAGUGAAGAAGGUCUUCGGAUCGUAAAACUCUGUUAUUAGGGAAGAACAAAUGUGUAAGUAACUAUGCACGUCUUGACGGUACCUAAUCAGAAAGCCACGGCUAACUACGUG